CGGAGAUCAACCGAGUUCAUCGCCAACGCAUCUUCAAUCGUCCCCGUGCACCGGAUCUCUCCCAGGACGUGCUCCCCGAUGGCGCCGCCUACACUUGUCGUGGUGGUCGACUCCGACGGAGGGAUCUAUAUUCAGAGCCAGUAGACGGAAUACUUGAUGCUUCAGAUCUCUUUAAGCUCGCGUCGGCCGUCGGGUCUCUUGUUUCUUCCUACAAGAUCGAUGUGGUUCUAUAUUACCGCGCCGCCGACGCCUCCGAGCUAUGAUCCGGAUGUGGAAACUCCACUUGCUGAUCUCGUCGUGGAUGAUGAUUCUGGUGCACGGGUCUAUAUACAGACCCAGGGCCCAGAACCUAUGGUUGUCCAGCGUUAGCUGCUGCUACCCUGCUGAUGCUGCUGCUGCUAAAAGGGGGAGAUAGUGGACAUAUAUGCUUGUGUGCUCUUUUUUACAUAUAUUAUUGUCUUUAAAGAAAUGUUCAGAAAAUAUUGUAAGAUAGAUGUGUUUGUUCUCUUUUAGGUGCUUUAUGUUGAGUUUCAUUUCUCUUAUGUGG